rnacentral:rRNA from 1 species
UACGAAGGGGGCUAGCGUUGCUCGGAAUCACUGGGCGUAAAGCGCACGUAGGCGGAUUGUUAAGUCAGGGGUGAAAUCCUGGAGCUCAACUCCAGAACUGCCUUUGAUACUGGCGAUCUCGAGUCCGGGAGAGGUGAGUGGAACUGCGAGUGUAGAGGUGAAAUUCGUAGAUAUUCGCAAGAACACCAGUGGCGAAGGCGGCUCACUGGCCCGGUACUGACGCUGACGGUGCGAAAGCGUGGGGAGCAACA